UCUUAUUUGGGCCUACUCCGCAUGGCACUAGAAGCACCUAAAAUGACCACCAAACUCCAAAUUACUAUCCAAAACAUCUAUUGAGUGUCAAAAGUUAGGUCAAGUAUAUGUCAUGCCCAAAAGAUUAAAGUUUAGCCAAGUUCUUCUCAUUUGAGCCUAAACACGUCACAUUGGACAUUUUUUACUCCACAUGGUACUAGAAGCACCUAAAAUGAUCACCACACUCUAAAUUCUUUUCCAAAAUGUGUAUUGGAUGUCAAAAGCCAGGUUGAGUACAUGCCAUGUGAAAAUGAUCCAAGUUUAGCCAAGUUUGUUUUAUUUGGCCCACUCUGCAUGGCACUAGAAACACCUUAAAUGACCACGACACUCCAAAUUCUUAUCUAAAAUGUGUAUCAUGUGUCAAAUGUUAGGUCGAGUAUAUGACAUGCCUAAAAGAUCCAAGUUUAACCAAGUUCAUCUCAUUUGGUCCUAAACACGUCUCAUUAGGUCUUUUGACACUCUAUAGCACUAGAAGCACCUAAAAUGACCACCAUACUCCAAAUUCUUAUCCAAAUUGUGGUGGUCAUUUCAGGUGCUUCUAGUGCAAUGGCUAAACAAACCAUCUAGUAGUUGGUUCCCUCCGAAGUUUCUCUCAGGAUAAUUGGAGCCCGCAGGCGAGUUCUAUAGGUUAAAGCCAAUAAUUAGAGGCAUCGGGGGUGCAACGCCCUCGACCUAUUCUCAAACUUUAAAUAGGUAGGACAAAGAGGCUUCUUUGUUGAGCCGUGCUAUGGAAUCGAGAGCUCCAACUGGCGAUGCGGGAUGAACCAGAAGCCAUUACGGUGCUCAACUACUCGUUAACCUAUAACCCAUAAAUAGUGUUAUUGGUUGAUUAAGACAGCAGGACGGUGGUCAUGGAAGUCAAAAUCAUCUACGUAGUGAUAACAACUCACGUGCUGAAUCAACUAGCCCUAAAAAUGGAUGGCGCUGAAGCGCGUGACCUAUACUCGGCCGUCGGGGCAAGUGCCAGGCCCCAAUGACUAGGAGGGCUUGGCGGUUGUAGAAAAACCUAGGAAGUGAGUCCAGCGGAGUGGCCGUCAGUGCAGAUCUUGGUGGUAGUAGCAAAAUAUUCAAAUGAGAACUUUGAAGGCCGAAAAGGGGAAAUGUUCCAUGUGAACGACACUUGCACAUGAGUUACUUGAUCCUGAGAGAUGAGGGAAGCAUGUCUGAUAGCGUGAACCGCGCAAGCUUCGAAAGGAAAUCAAGUUAAAAUCCUUGAAACGUGAUGUGAUGGCCGACGGCAAUGUUAGGGAGUCUAGAGACGCUGACAGGGGCCUAGGGAAGAGUUAUCUUUUAUGUUUAACAACCUACCCACCCUGGAAAAGGCUUAGUCAGAGGUAGGGUUGAGCGGAUAGAAGAGCACUGCAUGUCAUGUGGUGCCCGGUGUGCCAUUGAUGGCCCUUGAAAAUCUGGAGGACAGGUUGUCAUCCACUCAUAACCACAUCAGGUCUCCAAGGUGAAUAGCCUCUGGUCGAUGGAAUAAUGUAAGCAAGGGAAGUCAGCAAAAUGGAUCUGUAACCUUGGGAAAAGGAUUGGCUCUGACGGAUGGACACAUGGGUCCCAGUCUAGAACCCAUCGGCUAUUGAUGGACUGCUGGAGUUUCUCUUAUGGUGAGAGCAGGUCAUCGCAUGCCGAUCGAGGGAUGGACUGGGAAUGGUCCCUUCGGAGGCCUUCCCCAGGCAUCGUAUAGUCAACUCAGAACUUGUACGGACAAGAGGAAUCUGAAUGUUUAAUUAAAGAAAGCAUUGAUAUGGUCAAUGCGGAUGCUCACGCAAUGUGAUUUCUGCCUACUGCUUAGAAUGUCCAAGUGAAGAAAUUCAACCAAGCGCGGGUAAACGAUGGGAGUAACUAUGACUCUCUUAAGGUAGCGAAAUACCUCAUCAUCUAAUUAAUGACGCGCAUGAAUGGAUUAACAAGAUUCUCAUUGUACUUGUCUACUAUCUAGUGAACCACACCCAAGGGAACGGGCUUGGCAAAAUCAGCGAGGAAAGACGACACUGUUGAGCUUGACUCUAGUCCAACUUUAUGAAAUGACUUAAGAGGUGUAGGAUAAGUGGGAGUUGGAAACGGUGAAACGUAUAUACCAUUACUUUUAAUGUUAUUUUACUUAUUCCGUAAAUCAGAAGCAUGGCACUACCCCUCUUUUUUGUCACAAGGCAUGUGUCGGUGGGCCGAUCUAGGUGGAAAAUAUUGUCAGGUGGGGAGUUUGGCUGGGGCGGCACUUCUGUUAAAAGAUAACACAUGUGUCCUAAGAUGAGCUCAACGAAAAUAGAAAUCUCGUGUGGAACAAAAGGGUAAAAGCUCGUUUGAUUUUGAUUUUCAGUACGAGUAAAAAUUGUGAAAGUGUGGCCUAUCGAUCCUUUAGAUCUUCAGAAUUUGAAGCUGGAGGUGUUAGAAAAGUGACCACAGGGAUAACUGGCUUGUGGCAGCUAAGUGUUCAUAGCGACGUUGCUUUUGAUCCUUCGAUGUCGGCUCCUCCUAUCAUUGUGAAGAAAAAUUCACCAAGUGUUUUAUUGUUCACCCACUAAUAGGGAACGUGAGCUGGGUUUAGACCGUCGUGAGAGAGGUUAUUUUUACCCUACUUAUAAUAGUGUCACAAUAGUAAUCAACCUAGUACAAGAGGAAUCAUUGAUUCACACAAUUGGUCAUCGCUUGGUUGAAAAGCCAAAAGCUAUCGUGCGUUAGAUUAUGACUGAACAACUCUAAUUUAGAAUUCAUGCUAGAAGAGACGCAUGCACCCGUCGCCCGAUUACCGACUAGCAGUAGGGGUAACCCCAAAGGCAUGUGUUGUUGGUGAAGCCUUCUCGACGGGCGAAUCAAGUUGGCUGCUUUACAACAUAAUUUCCACCGAACGACGAGUACAAUCCUUUGCAGAUGAUUUAAAUACGCGACGGGGUAUUAUAAGUGACAGAGUGGCCUUGUUGUCAUGAUUCAUUGAGAUUCAUC
rnacentral:rRNA from 1 species